AAGAAGCGAAAGUGACGUACUGCAGAGAAGCGCCGGCUAACUACGUGCCAGCAGCCGCGGUAAUACGUAGGGCGCAAGCGUUAUCCGGAAAUAUUGGGCGUAAAGAGCUCGUAGGCGGUUUGUCGCGUCUGCCGUGAAAGUCCGGGGCUUAACUCCGGAUCUGCGGUGGGUACGGGCAGACUUGAGUGAUGUAGGGGAGACUGGAAUUCCUGGUGUAGCGGUGAAAUGCGCAGAUAUCAGGAGGAACACCGAUGGCGAAGGCAGGUCUCUGGGCAUUAACUGACGCUGAGGAGCGAAAGCAUGGGGAGCGAACAGGAUUAGAUACCCUGGUAGUCCAUGCCGUAAACGUUGGGCACUAGGUGUGGGGGACAUUCCACGUUUUCCGCGCCGUAGCUAACGCAUUAAGUGCCCCGCCUGGGGAGUACGGCCGCAAGGCUAAAACUCAAAGGAAUUGACGGGGGCCCGCACAAGCGGCGGAGCAUGCGGAUUAAUUCGAUGCAACGCGAAGAACCUUACCAAGGCUUGACAUGAACCGGAACGGCGCAGAGAUGUGUCGGCCACUUGUGGCCGGUUUACAGGUGGUGCAUGGUUGUCGUCAGCUCGUGUCGUGAGAUGUUGGGUUAAGUCCCGCAACGAGCGCAACCCUCGUUCCAUGUUGCCAGCGGGUUAUGCCGGGGACUCAUGGGAGACUGCCGGGGUCAACUCGGAGGAAGGUGGGGACGACGUCAAAUCAUCAUGCCCCUUAUGUCUUGGGCUUCACGCAUGCUACAAUGGCCGGUACAAAGGGUUGCG
rnacentral:rRNA from 1 species